rnacentral:rRNA from 1 species
CAGCAGCCACGGUAAUACGAAGGGUGCAAGCGUUGUCCGGAAUUAUUGGGCGUAAAGGGCUCGCAGGCGGUUUCUUAAGUCUGAUGUGAAAGCCCCCGGCUCAACCGGGGAGGGUCAUUGGAAACUGGGAAACUUGAGUGCAGAAGAGGAGAGUGGAAUUCCACGUGUAGCGGUGAAAUGCGUAGAGAUGUGGAGGAACACCAGCGGCGAAGGCGACUCUCUGGUCUGUAACUGACGCUGAGGAGCGAAAGCGUGGGGAGCGAACAGGAUUAGAUACCCGCGUAGUCCCUGUCUCUUAUAC